rnacentral:rRNA from 1 species
UACAGAGGGUGCAAGCGUUAAUCGGAAUUACUGGGCGUAAAGCGUGCGUAGACGGUUACAUAAGUCGGGUGUGAAAGCCCCGGGCUCAACCUGGGAAUUGCAUUCGAGACUGCGUAGCUAGGGUGCGGAAGAGGGAAGCGGAAUUUCCGGUGUAGCGGUGAAAUGCGUAGAUAUCGUAAGGAAGACCAGUGGCGAAGGCGGAGUCUCUGGACAGUUACUGACGCUGAGGCACGAAGGCCAGGGGAGCAAACGGGG